rnacentral:rRNA from 1 species
GACGAACGCUGGCGGCGUGCUUAACACAUGCAAGUCGAACGGAAAGGCCCUGCUUUUGUGGGGUGCUCGAGUGGCGAACGGGUGAGUAACACGUGAGUAACCUGCCCUUGACUUUGGGAUAACUUCAGGAAACUGGGGCUAAUACCGGAUAGGAGCUCCUGCUGCAUGGUGGGGGUUGGAAAGUUUCGGCGGUUGGGGAUGGACUCGCGGCUUAUCAGCUUGUUGGUGGGGUAGUGGCUUACCAAGGCUUUGACGGGUAGCCGGCCUGAGAGGGUGACCGGCCACAUUGGGACUGAGAUACGGCCCAGACUCCUACGGGAGGCAGCAGGGGGGAAUAUGGCACAAUGGGCGGAAGCCUGAUGCAGCAACGCCGCGUGCGGGAUGACGGCCUUCGGGUUGUAAACCGCUUUCGCCUGUGACGAAGCGUGAGUGACGGUAAUGGGUAAAGAAGCACCGGCUAACUGCGUG